GGGGAUGGGAGCUAGCUCCCUGAUGUUAGCGGCGGACGGGUGAGUAACACGUGGGUAACCUGCCUGUAAGACUGGGAUAACUCCGGGAAACCGGGGCUAAUACCGGAUGGUUGUUUGAACCGCAUGGUUCAGACAUAAAAGGUGGCUUCGGCUACCACUUACAGAUGGACCCGCGGCGCAUUAGCUAGUUGGUGAGGUAACGGCUCACCAAGGCGACGAUGCGUAGCCGACCUGAGAGGGUGAUCGGCCACACUGGGACUGAGACCCGGCCCAGACUCCUACGGGAGGCAGCAGUAGGGAAUCUUCCGCAAUGGACGAAAGUCUGACGGAGCAACGCCGCGUGAGUGAUGAAGGUUUUCAGAUCGUAAAGCUCUGAUGACCCGACCAAAUUUACC
rnacentral:rRNA from 1 species